UACGUAGGGCGCAAGCGUUGUCCGGAAUUAUUGGGCGUAAAGAGCUCGUAGGCGGCUUGUCACGUCGAUUGUGAAAGCCCGAGGCUUAACCUCGGGUCUGCAGUCGAUACGGGCUAGCUAGAGUGUGGUAGGGGAGAUCGGAAUUCCUGGUGUAGCGGUGGAAUGCGCAGAUAUCAGGAGGAACACCGAUGGCGAAGGCAGAUCUCUGGGCCGUAACUGACGCUGAGGAGCGAAAGCAUGGGGAGCGAACAGG
rnacentral:rRNA from 1 species